rnacentral:rRNA from 2 species
AGAGUUUGAUCAUGGCUCAGAUUGAACGCUGGCGGCAGGCCUAACACAUGCAAGUCGAGCGGUAGCACAGAAGAGCUUGCUCUUUGGGUGACGAGCGGCGGACGGGUGAGUAAUGUCUGGGAAACUGCCUGAUGGAGGGGGAUAACUACUGGAAACGGUAGCUAAUACCGCAUAACCUCGCAAGAGCAAAGAGGGGGACCUUAGGGCCUCUCGCCAUCAGAUGUGCCCAGAUGGGAUUAGCUAGUAGGUGAGGUAAUGGCUCACCUAGGCGACGAUCCCUAGCUGGUCUGAGAGGAUGACCAGCCACACUGGAACUGAGACACGGUCCAGACUCCUACGGGAGGCAGCAGUGGGGAAUAUUGCACAAUGGGCGCAAGCCUGAUGCAGCCAUGCCGCGUGUGUGAAGAAGGCCUUCGGGUUGUAAAGCACUUUCAGCGAGGAGGAAGGCGGUAAGGUUAAUAACCUUAUCGAUUGACGUUACUCGCAGAAGAAGCACCGGCUAACUCCGUGCCAGCAGCCGCGGUAAUACGGAGGGUGCAAGCGUUAAUCGGAAUGACUGGGCGUAAAGCGCACGCAGGCGGUCUGUUAAGUUGGAUGUGAAAUCCCCGGGCUUAACCUGGGAACUGCAUUCAAAACUGACAGGCUAGAGUCUUGUAGAGGGGGGUAGAAUUCCAGGUGUAGCGGUGAAAUGCGUAGAGAUCUGGAGGAAUACCGGUGGCGAAGGCGGCCCCCUGGACAAAGACUGACGCUCAGGUGCGAAAGCGUGGGGAGCAAACAGGAUUAGAUACCCUGGUAGUCCACGCUGUAAACGAUGUCGAUUUGGAGGUUGUGCCCUUGAGGCGUGGCUUCCGGAGCUAACGCGUUAAAUCGACCGCCUGGGGAGUACGGCCGCAAGGUUAAAACUCAAAUGAAUUGACGGGGGCCCGCACAAGCGGUGGAGCAUGUGGUUUAAUUCGAUGCAACGCGAAGAACCUUACCUACUCUUGACAUCCAGAGAAUUAGCUAGAGAUAGCUGAGUGCCUUCGGGAACUCUGAGACAGGUGCUGCAUGGCUGUCGUCAGCUCGUGUUGUGAAAUGUUGGGUUAAGUCCCGCAACGAGCGCAACCCUUAUCCUUUGUUGCCAGCGAUUCGGUCGGGAACUCAAAGGAGACUGCCGGUGAUAAACCGGAGGAAGGUGGGGAUGACGUCAAGUCAUCAUGGCCCUUACGAGUAGGGCUACACACGUGCUACAAUGGCGUAUACAAAGAGAAGCGACCUCGCGAGAGCAAGCGGACCUCAUAAAGUACGUCGUAGUCCGGAUUGGAGUCUGCAACUCGACUCCAUGAAGUCGGAAUCGCUAGUAAUCGUAGAUCAGAAUGCUACGGUGAAUACGUUCCCGGGCCUUGUACACACCGCCCGUCACACCAUGGGAGUGGGUUGCAAAAGAAGUAGGUAGCUUAACCUUCGGGAGGGCGCUUACCACUUUGUGAUUCAUGACUGGGGUGAAGUCGUAACAAGGUAACCGUAGGGGAACCUGCGGUUGGAUCACCU